rnacentral:rRNA from 1 species
AGUGAACGCUGGCGGUAGGCCUAACACAUGCAAGUCGAACGGCAGCACAGUAAGAGCUUGCUCUUACGGGUGGCGAGUGGCGGACGGGUAAGGAAUACAUCGGAAUCUACUUUUUCGUGGGGGAUAACGUAGGGAAACUUACGCUAAUACCGCAUACGGCCUACGGGUGAAAGCAGGGGAUCUUCGGACCUUGCGCGAUUGAAUGAGCCGAUGUCGGAUUAGCUAGUUGGCGGGGUAAAGGCCCACCAAGGCGACGAUCCGUAGCUGGUCUGAGAGGAUGAUCAGCCACACUGGAACUGAGACACGGUCCAGACUCCUACGGGAGGCAGCAGUGGGGAAUAUUGGACAAUGGGCGCAAGCCUGAUCCAGCCAUACCGCGUGGGUGAAGAAGGCCUUCGGGUUGUAAAGCCCUUUUGUUGGGAAAGAAAAGCAGCAGGUUAAUACCCCGCUGUUCUGACGGUACCCAAAGAAUAAGCACCGGCUAACUUCGUG